ACAAUGUGAUCUUUAGUCUCUUGGUAAAGGACAUUUGUCCUUUUCAUGACUGUUAGUGCUAGCUACAUGUGACAGGGUAUUUGGUGUCUUAAGAGGGGAUCUGGGUAUUUAUGCCCAAAUACAUGCACCUGAGAACUAGAUGCUGGUUGCCAAGGACUACUAAUGACUGAGAGCUGGAAGAGUCUCAGCUGCACCAAGUUAACAUUUAUCAAGGCAAGAGGAAACUUUAUAAAGGUAGAGCAGAAGCCUAAUUGAGUGAGUGGGGAUGAAGAGUGUGAGUACUGUCUCAGUGUUGAUGCUGCAGAUGGUGGUGGAUGAUAACCUGAGCAUUUGUGAAAACUAUAAGCACCAUCAAGUCAACUGAAUCCACCUGUCCUUUUGUCUGAUGUGGAAACCAUCAGGGAACUCUCCAAAUCUGCCACACAGCAGUGGCCACAGAGUGCAGCAUCCCUCCCCCAUCCAUGACAGUCCUGUUUUUGGGGCCCACUGCACCAUGUGUCCCAAAGGGAGUAUUGAGGAUGCUGUGGAACAUUCUGAGACCCUAACCUAAUGUAUCCUCGACCUACAUUAUGUGUGCAGGUUUGAGUUUUGCUGGGAAGGAGUCUGGGAGCCCACUACUCUGAAAGAAGAAUGGGCUUGAAGAGGAGCUGUGGAGGGGCAAAACAUUAUAUUGAUAACUAGUGUCACGGGACACUGAUGUGGGACAUUGAUACCCUGGAAAGGAACUAUGAUGUGACUUGGCUGGAGGACCAAGUCACCACACCAGAUCACAGGAGCCCUGAGGACAAGAGGAGGCAGAAGUACUGCAAUGCUGGGCCUCAAGACAAGGGACAUUCUGGGACGGCUAAAUUGUGGAAUUUGCCACAAGCCCUGAGUAAGGAACCAGGGGGAGACCAGGGACCAUAUUACAACAACCUCUCCCUACUGGCCUGUUGCUCUUUGGGAGAAUGGUCAAGGAAGCCUGGAGUUUUUUUUUUUUUUUUUUUUUAAAGCUGAUGAUGUCAGAGCUCUGUGGGCCCUGUCCCACUGCUACAGCUCCAUGUGAUGGGGGGAGAUGAAGGGCUUUUCACCUUGGGCUUGGUUUCUUGGAGUGGCUACUGCUGGUCCAACUGAGGUGGUGGGAAAGGUGAGAGGGCUAGUUGCUCCAUUGGGGCUGGGAGGCUCUGCAUUCACCACCCCAGACCCUGCUGCUGGUCUGACUCAUGCAGCUGUGUUUAGGAAUGACAAUGCCAUGUUCUGCCGUGUAUUGGAGUACUUUCUGAAUGACGUUCUGUGACUUUGGCUGCAGGCCAUCUCUCUUAUUUUAGUGCAAACAAACAUUGCAGCAUCUUUAUAUUAUCCUCCACAAACCAAUAAAUAAUGGUGAUUAAUGUAUAAAGUCAACCCUUAGCAGAUUGUGUACAUGAAUUCCUUCAACAUUUCUCUAGUUUAAGGAUAUGUGGUGGUAUCUUAGAUAUCAAUGUAUGGUAACUGUCCAUUUUAUAGUGGUGAUAGGUGUAGUUACCAGAACAAAUCUCUUACCUAUGACAGUGCCUAACACAAUGGAACCCCAAUCCCAGUUUGGGACUUGAAGUGCUACUGUGAUACAAACAAUGAUGAUAAUAUGCAAAUUAGGAGUAACAUUUUGGUUUUGAGUUACCUAGAAAUUGCAGCCAGGAGGUGAACAGCAGGGCACAACUGUUGAGUCUCCCACCUGAGCACUCUGCAUGAGACAUGCUAAAGGUUCUCUGCACUUUGGUGCAGUAAAGUUGAUACAAUCCUUACUGUUGACUAAAAGUGGGCCCUCUGUGCUUCAGGAGAUUGUUGCAAUUUUGGGCCAGAUUCCACAGUAAAACACAGAGUGUGUAAUCUGCUCACUCACCAGAGGCUACUCUGUACCCUCCCCUACUUGGAUUUGGAUGACUUGGACACCUGGCAUGAGUAACCUAUGUGAACAGCUGUGAGCUCGCCAGCUAGAACAGAGGUGGGAAAAUGACUCCCUUUGCCCAUUGUGGAGAGGUGAAGGUAAAGAGAAUCAGAAUUUGGCUUUCGCAUUCUUCAGCUGACCUGGCAUGUGCUGGGCAAGUCACUUCACUGCUCCAUGCCUUUUUCCUUAUCUGUGGAAUGGGAAUAAUGGUACCCUCCUUGGUAAAGCACUGUGAGAUCUCUAGAUGAAAACUGCUAUAUGCAUGUUGAUAUUUAAAACAAAUGUAUGUAGCACUAGUACUGUGCCCAUCAGUGGAGGAAAUGGCAGAUAUACCAAGACAAUGCACAUACGGCAAAUCAAUAUUUUGUGCUGCAUAUAAAAUAAGCUAUUUAAUUAGAUAUUAAUAUAGUGUAUAAGCAAAUGUUGAUUCAGAUACACUGGAAUUUCCAUGGAAAUGAUGUCUAUGCCUCAAGAUAUGAUGCAUAUAAACCAAAAUUUAUUUACUUUAUUUCAUUCCUAAUUUGUGUUUUAAGGAAAUAAAUGCCAUAGACGAGCUAUUGUGUUUUAUUAAGAAAUCAACAUGUUGGAAAUGCAAGCUAAUCUGUUAUGCAGAGGAGUCAUGCCUGGGUAUAAAUGCAAUAUAUAAUAUGCACAAUUCUUAGUGGCUUUUUUACUUUACUGUUUAGAACCUCAAAUAAAAUAGCCUCCAUUAGCUGCUUAGCUAGUAAGUAGAGAAGAAGACCAUUUGAAACUGCUGUAUAGUUGUCUUUUGAGCUGAACUGUUGAAACUGAAAAAAUGGGGGCAACAUGGAAUAUGGGGGAGACAGUUAUUAAAAUAUAAUCACAAAUGCAUAACUAAUAUGCAAAUCAGCAAAUUUAACUGAAGCAGGAAAAUACUGUAG